rnacentral:rRNA from 1 species
GACGAACGCUGGCGGCGUGCUUAACACAUGCAAGUCGAACGGAAAGGCCCUGCUUUUGUGGGGUGCUCGAGUGGCGAACGGGUGAGUAACACGUGAGUAACCUGACCUUGACUUUGGGGUAACUUCAGGAAACUGGGGCUAAUACCGGAUCGGAGAUCCUGCUGCAUGGUGGGGGUUGGAAAUUUUCGGCGGUCGGGGAUGGACUCGCGGCUUAUCAGCUUGUUGGUGGGGUAGUGGCUUACCAAGGGUUUGACGGGUAGCCGGCCUGAGAGGGUGACCGGCCACAUGGGGACUGCGAGACGGCGCAGACUCGUACGGGAGGCAGCAGUGGGGAAUAUUGCACAAUGGGCGGAAGCCUGAUGCAGCAACGCCGCGUGCGGGAUGACGGCCUGUGGGGUGUAAAACGCUGUCGCCUGUGACGAAGCGUGAGUGACGGUAAUGGGUAAAGAAGCACCGGCUAACUACGUG